CCGCACCGCACCACGUGACUACAGUCGGGAGGAGCGCGCGCUGGCCGCCGGCGUUUCCCCUUCUGGCGUCCAAGCGGCGGCCCCCGGCAGCGCUUACGCAGCCCCAGACGGCGGUGCGGGUGCGCGCCGGACGGGGGGGAGGGUAACAUGUGGCCGCUGCGUUGUCUCCUGGCGGGGAUACUGCUCGCUGCCCGUUGCGGGGGGGAUGCGACGGAGGUCCUUCCGCCCCUGAGUGCCGCCGCCGCCUACCUGCGCCCCACGGAGGUGGCAGGCGGGGGUGCCACGCGAAGCAGCAGCCGCCUGGCCGAGGUGUCGGCUUCGCCCGAGCAGGGCCAGCCCAUGACCCAGCGCGCACUGUUCGUGCUGGUGCUGGCUAGUGCCGCCCUUAUCGUCUACUUCGUGAUCCGGACCGUGCGGCUCAGAAGGCAAAACAGAAAAACCCGAAGAUACGGAGUUUUGGAUACAAACAUAGAAAACAUGGAGCUGACCCCAUUGGAGCAAGGUGAUGAUGAUGAUACAACACUAUUUGAUGCCAGUCAUCCUCGAAGUUGGAGAAGGGAUGUCAAGAACACUUGAAUUUUAUAUGGGCAAGAAUUUAGUGGGCAAGAAGAUAAGCACCAUUUGUCUUCAGCAUGUGAAUUCCAGAGAAAUGGAGAGGAAGGCUCCUCAGUUUUUCCCUGUGUCUUCUCUCCUGUGAGUUCUACUUCCAGUAGUUGCGUUCUGCUUUCUCCUUGCUUAAGUAAUCAACAGUUAGUGGAUGGUGAUCCUGCACCUAGUUGCGUUCUGCUUUCUCCUUGCUUAAGUAAUCAACAGUUAGUGGAUGGUGAUCCUGCACCAAGUUUUAGAUUUGAUACUGCUGCAUAGAAAGGUUCAUAUUCUUAAGUCACUCUCUGAAACUAUGCAAAUACAGGAACAUUUUCUUAUAUUUCAUUAUUGUCCUUGCACUUAAACAUUAUGAUCAAUUCAAACUUAAACUUAUGCAAUUCAAACUUCAAAAAGAAGUUUUCCUUAUUGAGUAUUGCUAUCACACUGCACAUGCAAAAGCAGUAAGAAAUUUGAUAGAGUUGUAGUUAGGACCACUGUCAAGUGUCAGAAGAGAUAAAACGAUGAAUUUUGCCAGUCACAGAUAGUAAUUGAUUAAACGCUAUUUAGUAUGAAACUGAACUGAUGUCUCAAGCAAAGCAAUUCAACAAAUGCAAUGGAGGAUGUCUCAAAUGAAUUGAAAGUAUUGGAGCAGUGAGUCAGAUGUUCUGCUUUUUAUUAGGAAACACCUUUGGAUGCAGAUCUGGAACUUGAAAUAAAAAGUUAGGUUUUUAUAGCUUUUUAGGGGCACUCUUUCAGAUUCAAUUUUUUUUCAUAAGUUAGACUUUUUUGUCUCUCCUAUGCAUUAGAUGAAACUAAUUGGGAUAUCCUCACUGAAUGCUCCUCUGUAUUAGAGAGUUUUAGUUACCCCAUGUUAUUAGUCUUGUUCCAGUAUAAAUUGUGCCUAUAAUAAUAGACACUUUAUAUUCAGGAAUUGCUUUGAUGUCUUUCCUAGAUCUUUUAAGUUCUAUUAUUAUUCAGCAUACUUAUUAGAGUUUGAGGUAUUUGAUGACCAGUUAAAACAAUACUUCCUUGUAAAUGUUUAUUUACAGGAAUAUCAAGGAACCUUAUUAUUAGGAAUGAAUAUGAUAAUAUGGCUACUCCUCAUUUACAAUCAGUAUUAUACAAUUAAAAACACUAUUGUAUCCAUGUUAUAGAGGUUCCUGUUAUGUUUCAAAAGCCCUAUUUUAUCUAAAGGGACUAUACUUGUAGUGUGUUAAGUAAGUAUGUGCACUAUAUCUUCCAGUGCAAAGGAGGCUGUUUUUAUAAGUGAUACAUGUCCUAUGUAUGUAGUUCGGUGUUCUGAUUUUUUUGACUGCUUAUAACAACUUCCAGUUUACCUGUUUUGGAAAUUUGGGUUGCAUUAUAUAAAGGCUUCCAGACACUGAAAUGGCAACGUGCAUCUUCUAACCCUACUCUUUUGCUUUAGUAAGAUGAUAUCUAAAUUCAAUUCAUGUUCCAUAGAAAAAUCUAAAAUUCCAAGCUUGAAGCUUUACCGUAAUAUAAACCAAAUAACUUUGAAGUCUGAAGCUAUAAAACCACCUCAAAGUGUCAAAAUGAUUGUACCUGUUUCUUUAAGCUUCCUUGCAUACCUUAAAAUAGAACCAUUGAGGGAAGUGUGACUAAAACUUAUAUCAGAGGUUUUCAGAGGGUGGAUUUCUUUUUAUGUUUUUAAAUAGAUGGUGUUUUAUGUUUUUAAAUACUUCAGUUUGGUGGAGAAAAAAUUUUCAUUCAAGUAUUUGAUCGUAGAAGAAUCUAAUAGGCACAGUAAUUUUAAAUGGUUGCAAAUCCAUUUUGCAGCAGUAGUCUUGCAGCUGCUUAUGGAGUAAUCAGAGUAUGUAAAGCAGAUCAAUACUGUUUUUAUCCAGUUUACAUAGUUGAGUCAUUUAAUUACUGGGUAUUUCACUCUUAUCCCUGAAAGGAUGUAUCAGGACAAAACAAAAGUGAAAACACUAAGAAUACACAUAUGGUCUAGACUAAGGUCCUUAUUUUUAUUUUGCUUUUCCCUUUUUGCCACACAGACCUGUUAGGGUGAUGAUGAGGUGUAGAUAUGCUUGUUAACAGCCUAUCAAUCUGAAGAGACAAACCAGUGAACUUCUAGAAUCUAAAUAGGGCUGUACCAAGGAUCCUACAUAUUUCUGUCAUGAUCAUUCAGUUGGGUAAACCAUAUUCUAUUAAUUUCCCUUCAGAAUUUAUCUUGGAAAUUCAUACUCAAUGAAGUGGUUUUCGUAUGGAUUGUACUACCUCUGGUCACAAUAUGGAUUUUGUCCUAUUAUGUCCUAAUUUCAUGUUUUUGUCUACGCUUUUUGUGGUUCUGUGGUUGAAGUUAAUUUUACGAUUAAGAAAUUAACUUGAAAUAAAGCAAACGCUUUAUAAGUAUAGAGAGCAGGCUUUGAACUAUACUUGCCCUUAGCUGUGAUAACUACAAAAAAUUUCACACUACUAGUGUUGUAGUUGGAAAAGAAAAAAAACAAGCCCCCCAAAAACACACCAAAAAACCUCUUUUCCAAUUUCCAAAUACCCACUACCUAUUUAAAUUGAAGUAUUGCAGCAAAUCAUGAUUUUAUUUAGCUAUACCAGGCAAUUUGGAAGUGUUUCAAAAUAGGUUACCGAUCCAGACCAUUUUAAAAACACGUCUUUGGGUGACAUACUAUACAAUUAGUUUGAGUGCAUUAUUAGUAUUUGUUUCACUGAUGACUUAGCUAUUGUAAGAUGAAUGAAGUAUUUUUUUUAAUAGAGUUCCUCACACACUAUGGUAUUUUGUUGAUGAAAGAACUGCUAGAUAUGUGAUAUUUGAUUUUAAAAGCAUCAGCUUCUGCUGCAAAACCAGGACCUGAUGUUUUCUUCCAAGUGUGAAGAGCCCAGUAGAAAUGGAGAUAGAAGUGGUGUGUUAUACUUGAACAUGCCAUAGUCUGGAGUAAAUACAUAGUGAUGUGACUUGUGGUGUAGGCACACCUUUACUUCUGUUGUAUGGAGCUGUAAAAUGUGACAAUAAUGUUAACCUCUCACUCAAAUUGCAAGCAAAGUAAUUGUAUUGCAGUAACCGAGUGAUCUAACCAAACAAUUUUUACACUUAAGUUCUUUUAACUUACUGAGGAAAACUAGCUGAACAGAUUACAUCUAAUACCUUCUAACUACCUUACUGUAGGCAAUAAAGGAAGAUGUUAUGAUUGUUUAAAGAUAGCUUUUUAAAGAAGGAAGGUUCUGAAGUUAUAAAAUUCUUUAUUAUCAGGCUUUUGAGAAAACAAGGAUUUCAGUUAGUUUUAGUCAAUAAUGUGAAUAUACUCCAUUUAUGUAUGUUGAGAGCUUGCUGUGCCCUCCUUUAUGCGCAGAAGCUCUCAAAAUUUUAGAAGUUUCUGUUUAGCUUGAAACAGGGUUUGUGUAUAGGAGGAAAACAGUGCUGAACAAUGUGAAUACACUCCACAAAUCACUGUAGAACAGCUUGAUAAAAUGCAGUCCAAACUUCAAAAAGCAAGAGCAUUGCUGAGAGGGAACUUCGAAAACUAAUAUAGAACACCUUAAAAAAACCCCUAAAAUACUCAGUUGGGAAUGUACUUUUUCUAGUUAACUUCUUUUCCCUUGUUUCAACUGAGCCUUUUGCAUCUGUAUGGAAGUUUAGUACUCAGUCUUCAUAUUCCUGCUUAAUCAAAGAUUAAAAUGUGUAACAAAUCAGAAUCACUGAGUGCAAAUUGACAAUAAUAAUGCUCAGAUAUUCUCAGGAGGUGUCAUUACACUUUGUCCUGUAAUCAGCAGUAAUUCAGAGGUACGAUUAGUUUGGGUUUUUUCUAAUGUAUCUUAUAUAUAGAUAGUCAGGCUUGGAACAGCUAGUUAGCAGAAAAAAGGAAGAGGGGCUUUUAAUGUGUUUCGAGUUUAGUCCUUUAAAUCACAGUUGCAGUUUUGCUUAACUACAGUCAUCAAUCAGCUUAUUCAGUUCAUCAGUUUCUCACCCUCAUUAUAGAAGGCACUAAAAAACUUAAUGCUUUUACAGGAAGUUCUAAUCUUUGUGUUCUGGUGGGUUCAUAUACAUUUGUUAUGAACAAAAAUUAUCUAAAUAUUGUACUAUAUAGAAGGAAAAAAAGGUAACUAUCCAAUGGUAUGCAGUCUACUUUCAUUUUUCUUGACUAAAACAAUCAAGAUUUUUAAGGUGAUGCUCUACAUCACCGUGUGCUUAUGUUAGAAAUUCCUAUUGGCUUCUUUAGGGUUGCCUGCUAUAUCUGUUUGACUCUUUCCAAGACUAGGCAGAGAAACUGGAUUCUUUCCUAAAAUCAGCAUAACAGUUUUAGUAUAAGUGUGUUGAUAAGGUUAUUACUUCAACUGUUGUUGCUGUUUUCUUUCAGAUCUAUUAAAAAAAAGUGCAUAGUGUCCUCUGUUGUAACAUAGAUGUAGUUUCAAUGUACUUCCACUGUUGUCGUCAUCCAGGUAGUCUCUGUGCCUCCUCAGUUUGGGGCAGCUUACCUGAAUCGGAUGUGUUAGCCAUUUUGUUCAAUGGCAUGCUACUACACAUCCAAGUCUGAAAUAUUGUCUUUUGGUUUCUCACCAUGCAACCUUACCUACAUGUCAACUGAGUUACAGUAUGGUAAUAUAACAUCUUCAUUUUUGAAAGGUACAUCACACUAAUAAUUUACAGUCUUCAUUAAAUCACUUUAUACAUACCCACACAGCUUCCUGCUCUUCAAGGCACAAGGAAAAGCAAUUCUUCCAUUUUUAUAGCAUCACAGUUGUGGAUAUUACCAAGAGUUACCAAAGUUUGACUAGGAACUUGGGAGCCUUCUAAGUUUAAAAAUAUAUCCAACAUGGUGAAACCCUGUUUUUUUUCUUAUAAGUGAGUUGUCUUUCCAUUUGGGUGGUUGAAAUGAGUGGAGUUUUAUGGCAUUUAAUAAUAAAAUUUUAUAUCUCUAUGUUUUGGGUUUUUUUUAAUGUUUUGGGUUUUUUUUAAUGUUUGGUCUUCAAUGUAGGCUCAAAAGUUCCGCUUGGAACAGGGCAUUUCAAAUUAAUGCAUCUGUUUCUUCUGUUGUAGAGAAGUACAUGCCUUUCAGUGAAAGAACUUAAUCUUAGAACGAGAGAAGGAGACUACUUCAUGGGAGGAAUAAGAAGCAAGAGGGUAUGCAAGUUGGGGGCACUAAUUUAAUUUGUGUAUAGUAUGGCAACCUUAAUUUGUUGCAAUAAGUACUGUAUAAAUUUGUUGUACCCUUUUGUAUAUAGAGGAUUCUAAAUGUAAAGCCUAUGGAGAGAGAGUACACUAAAAUGAAAACCUGUUUGGAAGGGAGAGUAUUUUUAAAACAGGGUAUUUUUUUUUUUCCUUGUUACCAGUCUUGUAUGCCAUAAGCGUGGUAUACACCUUUUCUACAGUAAUCUGGAACAUCAACAAAUUCUUUUUGCUUAUAUUAAAUUGUGAGUAAACAUAGCCUCUGUGGACUCUUAAGAAUUGUUAGAACGUGAGUUUAGUUGAGAAGGUGCUUUAUCCUUUACAAAUAAAAAGCCAAACCAUU